rnacentral:lncRNA from 1 species
GUAUUUUGAGUACCCUUAUUCUGGUAUGAGUAGUCAUAUGUAACUUCAAAAUUUGUUCUGUUUGAACCAAUCUUGAGUAAAAAAGGAUUGAUUCAUCCUUUGGAGUUUUGGAACUCGUACUUAGGCUUCUGAUGAAGUUGUUACCAGUAGUAGAGUGUCAGUAGUCGGAGUCGGGCUUUUUAGGCUCCGAGUAGCUGGAGUGAGUUUAUUUUGAGAGACUUGGGGCGAAGGCCUGAGUACGUU